rnacentral:rRNA from 1 species
UACGUAGGGUGCGAGCGUUGUCCGGAAUUAUUUGGGCGUAAAGAGCUCGUAGGCGGUUUGGCAAGUCGGGUGUGAAAACUUCAGGCUCAACCUGGAGAUGCCACCCGAGACUGCUAUGACUUGAGUCUGGUAGGGGAGCACGGAAUUCCUGGUGUAGCGGUGAAAUGCGCAGAUAUCGGGAAGAACACCCGUGGCGAAGGCGGUUCUCUGGGACGGUACUGACGCUGAGACGCGAAAGCGUGGGGAGCGAACAGG